rnacentral:sRNA from 1 species
GCCAGGCAGGGUGGCUCAUGCCUGUAACUCUAGCAGCUUAGGAGGCUGAGGCAAGAGGAUCACAGGAGGCUCAGGUAGUGGCUUGAGAGGCUGAUUCAGAAGUUCAAAGCCAGCCUCGGUGAAUUAGCAAGACCUGAAACUUAUUGAGAUCCUGUCUCAA